CACCGGAAGCUUUAAUUCCUGUGCUGAUUUGUUUGCUGAUUCAGCAGAGAUGCAUUGAGUGCUUACUCUGUCCCCGGCACUCUUCUAACUCUGGAGCACAUAGUGAACAGGACAGGCAAGGUCUUUGCCUCAGAGAGAGAAAGGAAGAAACAAAAUCAUUUUAGGUGGUGAUUUCAAAGGCUUCAUGAAGAUUUUAAAUGGUGAUUAACCACAGAGUGUAAUAUAAAUUGAGAGGUCAGAGAAGAACUCUCUGAAGAGUGACAGUUGAACUGAAACCUGAACAGCAGAAGGAAUCAGCUAUUUGAAGAGCAGGAUCGCUGAGUGAUGUGUGUGCACAUUAGAGCUUGAGAAGUACUUCUCUGGGAUCUGCUGCUGGGGAACCUCAGCAGGGAUGCCCAGACAAACUCAGCACAAAGGAAGAGAGCAGGUUUGCCGUACUGGAACACUCCCCCUGGCCUUGGACAAGAGUCUUUAGGAACAGUCAUAUGCCUUUCCCCAAUUUUCUGGAUGUUAUGGCAGAUGGCAGGAGCAAAGCAUCCAAGCCAAACCAAGCAGGCAUUUAAAGCCUCUGCUUAGCAUCACAUUUGCUCACCUUUCAUUGUUUGAAGCAAGUCACAUGGCCAAGUCCAGGUGGUGCUGAUGAACUACUCUCAACUACAAGGAAGAGAAUCACUGGACAGGCAUCUUAGACCAAUGCCAGGUCAGCUGGGAACCUGGGUGGCCUUGGAGCAGAGCCCAACUUUCUGCCCUGGACGAGUAGAUGAAGAAAAAGAAACUCUGAACUUACAUGUAGGCAAAUGCAUUUUGCAAUCUGUUAGACCAGCUUGAUCCUUACCAUAAUGAUUGUACACAAUUUCAUUGUGCAAAAAUAGAAAGGGUAAAAUAAAAGUUAUCCAGGGUCUCUCCAUCCAAGAGAGAAGGACUUUAAUCUUAUGUUCACCCUUUCAAUAUGCUAGUAGGGUAACAUUAAAAAAGAAAUCUUCCAAAGAGUACGAGCUUA